rnacentral:rRNA from 1 species
UGGAGAAAAGCAGGGGAUCGUAAGACCUUGCGCUUUUGGAGCGGCCGAUGUCUGAUUAGCUAGUUGGUGGGGUAAUGGCCUACCAAAGCUUCGAUCAGUAGCUGGUCUGGGAGGACGGCCAGCCACACUGGGACUGAGACACGGCCCAGACUCCUACGGGAGGCAGCAGUGGGGAAUUUUGGACAAUGGGCGCAAGCCUGAUCCAGCCAUGCCGCGUGAGUGAAGAAGGCCUUCGGGUUGUAAAGCUCUUUCAGCCGGGAAGAAAAGGCUGCGACUAAUAAUCGCAGUUCAUGACGGUACCGGAAGAAGAAGCACCGGCUAACUACGUGCCAGCAGCCGCGGUAAUACGUAGGGUGCGAGCGUUAAUCGGAAUUACUGGGCGUAAAGGGUGCGCAGGCGGUUUUGUAAGUCAGAUGUGA